GGCAGCCAGUUUGCUGAGAGGUGGGGCGGUAUUAGCUGUCUGGCCUGAGAUGUUGGCACACUGUAGCUUACAGGCUACUGGUGGGGCCAGGUCUUGGGGCUAAUGAUCCAAGCAAGAGGCCCACGCCAAUGAACACUUGCUGAUACACCAGCUUUUAUGAUCCCCGAGGGAGCCACAGCGCACCCCCCGUCCCCCCCAAACCAACAGGAAUUAGCUGUGAUUCUGGCGGUUUCUGAGAGGAGGCGAGCUCAAGGGCCUUCCAGUCGGCCGAGCUGAAAGAUUCCUCGGGACUCUCACCUCAAAGGAUGGGCCGCUUCUUUAUCUACACAGCUCUGGGCCAGAGACCUGUACCUGGCAGUAACAAUGAAUACUUGUGAAACUAAUCAAUAUCUAUUAGUUGACUGAUCAACCUGUUCUUUUCCAUAAUUUGUCCCUUUUCUAUAACAGCACCUAUUUUUCUACUUUAAUUGUUAAAGAUAAAAUACUUCAAUGGGCAAAUAUCACUUAAAGCCAAAGAAAAUAUAACUCUGUGGAUAUUCCCUAAGGAAAAACCAAGGGUAUAUAACAAAAUCACUCAUUAGAAAUCCUUCCUAAUAAAGGACAAUGCUCUAGGACACUUUAUAGCAUACCGCAUCCAUUUUCAGAAAUUUAGGGACACGUCUCAAAUUUCUGAUUCCCUAAGUUCCUUAAGAACCCUUCUUCCAACACCAAUCCUCUAUGCUACCAUCCCAAUGUCCUCCCACCCCCACCACCACAAAAACCCUUUGAGUAAUUUUUUUUUCUUUUUUGGCUGUCCCUUGGCAUGUGCAGUUCCCGGGCCAGGAAACAGAUCCAAGCCACAGUUGCAACCUAAGCCAAAGCUGCAGCAAGGCCAGAUUGUUAACCCACCAUGCCCAGCUAGGGAACGGAGUUAUUUUAAUAGUUACACUUAAGGCAUGAGAAUUAUUUCAGAGCUCACUGCAGUCAAUAUGCUAAUAUUAAAUAAUGUUGAGGCGACAACAAAAAAGUAAAUAACGUUCAAGAAAAGUUUAAUUUUACUCAUAAGUGAAUUUCAAAUUAAAAUACACUAGAAAAGCAGCCUAACUAUAUUUACUCUUCUGUGGAUCUGUAGUUGAAAUGCAGUUUCACAAGAACCUAACUAUACAUAGCAUCUGCAACUAUAUUUAUAUUGUAUCCAUAUAUAAAAACUGAACAGAAAAAUAUCCUUUCUGAAGAGAAGAGCUAGUUGAUAUGUUCAAGAAUCAAAAGUGGAACCACCCUUUAGAGGGAAUAAUAUUGAAACUGACAGGACCCUGUGGGGCUCCUGGGCACAAGCCCUCUGCGUUCCCUAUUUCUUACUCUUAGGGAAUAAGCUUCAGCCUCCACCACCUUCCCUGCACUCCAAAGAGUAGGUUCAAACAGUUGCUCAUCAGAGAAGGGAGGGGAUGCAGAGGCAACAGUGCAGCCUUGGGGCGGGAUCCUGGUUCCUCCUCAAGGAAUAUACAUAAAAGUAUCUUUGAGUUCUUCUGCAGAACUAAAACCUGCCACAAAUGAAAACAAGAGAGGAGGACCACCGAACCAGGCCUGGGGCCACUAAACACCAACUUUGAAGAAGAAUGAAAGCUUGUACCUAUUCUGAUCCUUAUCUGUGGCCCUGUUUUCUACUCCCAAACUAUAAAGCAACUUCCUAAUCUCUCCCAAGGGAGGGCACAGUCUUUAGGGCAUUAGCCUGCUAUGGCCUCCUUUGCCUAGCAAGCAGUAAUGCUAUUUUUUUUCCUCCCGCACCCAAAACUGUCUCUGAGAUUCUAUUCGGCACUGAUGGACAAACACCUAGUUUCAACAAUUCCAGGCUCCAAUAAAAUAUAAGCAUUCAAAAC
rnacentral:lncRNA from 1 species